AUUGAACGCUGGCGGCAGGCCUAACACAUGCAAGUCGAGCGGGGUUUUCGGACCUAGCGGCGGACGGGUGAGUAAUGCGUAGGAAGCUGCCCGAUAGAGGGGGAUACCAGUUGGAACGACUGUUAAUACCGCAUAAUGUCUACGGACCAAAGUGUGGGACCUUCGGGCCACAUGCUAUCGGAUGCGCCUACGUGGGAUUA
rnacentral:rRNA from 1 species